rnacentral:rRNA from 1 species
CGCGGCCUAUCAGCUUGUUGGUGGGGGUAAUGGCCUACCAAGGCGACGACGGGUAGCCGGCCUGAGAGGGUAACCGGCCACACUGGGACUGAGACACGGCCCAGACUCCUACGGGAGGCAGCAGUGGGGAAUAUUGCACAAUGGGCGCAAGCCUGAUGCAGCGACGCCGCGUGAGGGAUGACGGCCUUCGGGUUGUAAACCUCUUUCAGUAGGGAAGAAGCCGUGAGGUGACGGUACCUGCAGAAGAAGCGCCGGCUAACUACGUGCCAGCAGCCGCGGUAAUACGUAGGGCGCAAGCGUUAUCCGGAAUUAUUGGGCGUAAAGAGCUCGUAGGCGGUUUGUCGCGUCUGCUGUGAAAGACCGGGGCUCAACUCCGGUUCUGCAGUGGGUACGGGCAGACUAGAGUGCAGUAGGGGAGACUGGAAUUCCUGGUGUAGCGGUGAAAUGCGCAGAUAUCAGGAGGAACACCGAUGGCGAAGGCAGGUCUCUGGGCUGUAACUGACGCUGAGGAGCGAAAGCAUGGGGAGCGAACAGGAUUAGAUACCCUGGUAGUCCAUGCCGUAAACGUUGGGCACUAGGUGUGGGGGACAUUCCACGUUUCCGCGCCG